CAGUAGCCACGGUAAUACGUAGGGUGCGAGCGUUAAUCGGAAUUACUGGGCGUAAAGCGUGCGCAGGCGGUUCGUUAAGACAGAUGUGAAAUCCCCGGGCUUAACCUGGGAACUGCAUUUGUGACUGUAUAGCUAGAGUACGGUAGAGGGGGAUGGAAUUCCGCGUGUAGCAGUGAAAUGCGUAGAUAUGCGGAGGAACACCGAUGGCGAAGGCAAUCCCCUGGACCUGUACUGACGCUCAUGCACGAAAGCGUGGGGAGCAAACAGGAUUAGAUACCCCCGUAGUCCCUGUCUCUUAUAC
rnacentral:rRNA from 1 species